rnacentral:sRNA from 1 species
UCAAAAUAUGAAGUUUUGUCAUUUUUCAACACACUUUUCUGUGAUUGUAAAGAAAAACUGAUAUUUGAACAACUGAGAAUGAAAACUACUCUAUUUCUUUUGCUAGUGGCUGUUUUAUUUUUAGGAACAGCAUACGGGGCCGCUAUCAUGUGUGUGCCAAAUGGAGAGGUAUGUUUGGUGAAUCCCUGUGAUUUCCUGAAAUGUGACGCCACGCAGGUCUGCCACCGAUGCAACUGUGAAGCCAACUGCUUGUUUAGAGGUGCACUCUAGUGGAGUGUUUAGAGGUGCACUCUAGUGGAGUGUUUAGAGGUGCACACUAAUGGACUCAGUAAUGGCGUACUAUGAUAGAUUCAAAUAAACUGAUCCGUUCCACGGCAUUUUUUUCAGAAUUUUUCAGAGAUGUUUCUACUGAUUGAAUAAAGAUGAAGAGUUUGUGGUCUUUUCA